rnacentral:misc_RNA from 1 species
GAAUUUCUAUAUUUUCAAGUGUACUGAUAGGUGGUCCAUGUUCCUUCUUGUUGUUUGUUUAAUUCGACCACCCUAUAUAUGCAUCACUAAGCGGAAAGCGUUUGAGGGCGAUUCGUCACCGAAUGGUAGCGACCCUACUGAAGUUAUCCGAGUGUAACAGAGUAUAGAUAAAUAUCAAUGUAAUAAACAAGACGCUAUACUGUCCACGUAUAGCCUCAGUAUCAGUGUUACGGUUACGGCCACGGCUGUGACAAGUGCUGUGCCCUUGUAACUCCGAAUCGUAUUAAAAAUUUGUUAAACAUAUUUCGCGGUAAGAAUGUUGACAAAGGGGUGGCGUAUGAUUCUCAUUCAUUUUCUUAUCGCUUGGGAAAUCAAUUAACUCGCUUUGAAUUUGACUAAAACGUGUACGAUCAAGCGAAUAUCCGGGAAAGGCGAAUCGCGCACAGCAAGGACGAAGAAUAACGCCGUAUAGUACGCGGCGUGAAAGGAACGGAAAUAGAGGGUUGUAACAAUGUCUAAGAAGACUGCCUGUAACAAAAUGUUGGUUCAUCAGUUGUCAGCUGUAUUACCUGAUGAUAGACCCAUUACAUCUAUAAGAGUUGUUGAAGAUAUAGAUAAAUGUCCACCAAAUUUUACAGUGGUUUCAAGAACAUAUGAUCAGGACACUGAUGCCGACUUAUGGAGAGAAAGUGGACUUUUCAUAAAAAAGAAGGGCAGAUAUAUUUGUUUUUCCAAGACUGAAGGGUUACCUCAGUGUGUGGUUGAAGACAUAGUAGUUAUUAAUGAAAGAGAUUCUCCUCCAGAAGGAUACAGCAUGAUUUCUAAUACUGUUGAUUCAAUGCAGAAGGCAUGGAGGAAGAAGCAGUUGUGCUAUAAAAUUAGAAAUAAGGAUCUAUGCUCGAAAGCAGUUACAGAUAUUAUUAUAUGUAGUAGAAUUAUGAAUAAGGUCUAUACCUCCAACAUGGCUCCAAAUGGAUUUAUUGCUGCUGGUGUCAUAAAUGGAGUUUGGGUUUGCUACAAAACUGUAGAUAUUGUAAAUGGGAAUACAAAUUCACAAUCGUAUGUUAAUAUAGAUUUACUUCAAAGUGCUUCCCCAAAUCCAUCAAACGGAACACCUCAUAGGGUACCCCCUGAAAGGCCACCAAAACCAAAGUUUUCACCAAAACCAACAAAUGGAAUUUAUCCACAAAUUUCUGGGAGUGGGGGAAAAGAUUUAGAAGAAUCUAGCGAUAGAGAUUAUGAAAUUUUAAGUCCCGAUGCAAAAAUUAAACCUACGAGACCUGCUCCACAACCACCGACAACGGUAGUUGCAGGUGCUUCAUCAAUUUAUGGUACACUGCCAGGAUCUUCAGAUUUAGAUGGAGUUCCAUUUGUUCUUAACCCUCGUCUUAAUGUUCAAUCUGAUUCUUCAAAUACUAAACUUCCUGUAAUUAAAGUUUGGACUCAAAAAGACUUGGAUAAGGAGUUCUUUUAUGACUUUCGUGCGGAAAGGGAAACUUGAAGAAACCACUGUGCCAAAUUGUGUGAUUCUUCAUGCAAUUUUUCAGCUAUAUCUAUACAUUUGUAUUGAUAAUAUAGCGCUAGCCAAGUGUAAUAGAGUGCCUGAACGAGUGAUUCAUACUAACCUGCGAAAAUGGAAUCCUUUUAACAUUUACUGAUUUUGAUACCAGUGACAGUUAGCAUUGUAUUUUUAUAGAGUUGCGUUGUAUUUUUAUAGAUAGUAGAAGUUAUAUAUAUUAUAUAUAAUUGUAUCAUAUGUUCUAGUUGUUUAUAAAUCGUCACAAGAUAUUUAACAUUGUACUGGUGUACUCCUAUUUCUUAAUCAAACGCAAAAAUCUUUCAAUAAAGUCAUUUUUAAUUUUAUUUCCAACAAUAGAAGAAA